UCAAAAAGACCGUCCCAGUUCGGAUCGCAGGCUGCAACCCGCCUGCGUGAAGUUGGAAUCGCUAGUAAUCGCGGAUCAGCAUGCCGCGGUGAAUACGUUCCCGGGCCUUGUACACACCGCCCGUCACACCAUGAGAGUCGGGAACACCCGAAGUCCGUAGCCUAACCGCAAGGGGGGCGCGGCCGAAGGUGGGUUCGAUAAUUGGGGUGAAGUCGUAACAAGGUAGC
rnacentral:rRNA from 1 species